AAGUCGUAACAAGGUCUCCGUUGGUGAACCAGCGGAGGGAUCAUUAAAGAGUUCUAUAACUCCCAAACCCAUGUGAACAUACCCAACGUUGCCUCGGCAGGUCGCGCCUACCUUGUAGCGCCCUACCCUGUAGGGCCUACCCGGGAGACGCGGGUAAGCCUGCCGACGGCCUACCAAACUCUGUUUGAUAUUGAAUUCUGAACCUAUAACUAAAUAAGUUAAAACUUUCAACAACGGAUCUCUUGGUUCUG
rnacentral:misc_RNA from 1 species